CUCAGAUGAACGCCGCCGGCAUGCCUUACACAUGCAAGUCGAACGGCAGCACGGGUGCUUGCACUGGCGGCGAGUGGCGAACCGGUGAGUAAUACAUCGGAACAUGUCCUGUAGUGGGGGAUAGCCCGGCGAAAGCCGGAUUAAUACCGCAUACGAUCUAUGGAUGAAAGCGGGGGACCUUCGGGCCUCGCGCUAUAGGGUUGGCCGAUGGCUGAUAGCUAGUUGGUGGGGUAAAGGCCUACCAAGGCGACGAUCAGUAGCUGGUCUGAGAGGACGACCAGCCACACUGGGACUGAGACACGGCCCAGACUCCUACGGGAGGCAGCAGUGGGGAAUUUUGGACAAUGGGCGAAAGCCUGAUCCAGCAAUGCCGCGUGUGUGAAGAAGGCCUUCGGGUUGUAAAGCACUUUUGUCCGGAAAGAAAUCCUUGGCUCUAAUACAGNCGGGGGAUGACGGUACCGGAAGAAUAAGCACCGGCUAACUACGUGCCAGCAGCCGCGGUAAUACGUAGGGUGCAAGCGUUAAUCGGAAUUACUGGGCGUAAAGCGUGCGCAGGCGGUUUGCUAAGACCGAUGUGAAAUCCCCGGGCUCAACCUGGGAACUGCAUUGGUGACUGGCAGGCUAGAGUAUGGCAGAGGGGGGUAGAAUUCCACGUGUAGCAGUGAAAUGCGUAGAGAUGUGGAGGAAUACCGAUGGCGAAGGCAGCCCCCUGGGCCAAUACUGACGCUCAUGCACGAAAGCGUGGGGAGCAAACAGGAUUAGAUACCCUGGUAGUCCACGCCCUAAACGAUGUCAACUAGUUGUUGGGGAUUCAUUUCCUUAGUAACGUAGCUAACGCGUGAAGUUGACCGCCUGGGGAGUACGGUCGCAAGAUUAAAACUCAAAGGAAUUGACGGGGACCCGCACAAGCGGUGGAUGAUGUGGAUUAAUUCGAUGCAACGCGAAAAACCUUACCUACCCUUGACAUGGUCGGAAUCCUGAAGAGAUUCGGGAGUGCUCGAAAGAGAACCGGCGCACAGG
rnacentral:rRNA from 1 species